GUCUUUUUGAAUUAAAAAUUUAAAGUUGAAUCUGCCCACUGAUUAAUAAAUUAAAGGGCUGCAGUAUAUUGACUGUACAAAGGUAGCAUAAUAAUUAGUCUUUUAAUUGAAGACUUGUAUGAAAGAUUUGAUGAGAUAUAAACUGUCUCUUUUUUAUAAUUAGAAUUUAAUUUUUCAGUAAAAAAGCUGAAAUAAAUUUAAAAGACGAGAAGACCCUAUAGAGUUUUAUAAUUAAGUUUAAUUAUAUAUUUAUAUUUAAAUUUAAAGUUAAUUAAUUUAAUUAUUUUGUUGGGGUGAUAGAAAAAAUAAAUUAACUUUUUUUAAAUAUAAAACAUUAAUUAAUGAAUUUAUGAUCCAUAUUUUAUGAUUAAAAGAAAAAAUUACCUUAGGGAUAACAGCGUAAUUUUUUUUUUUAGUUCUUAUAAGAAAAAAAGUUUGCGACCUCGAUGUUGGAUUAAGAUAAAAUUUAAAUGUAGAAGUUUAAAAUUUUUGAUCUGUUCGAUCAUUAAAAUCUUACA
rnacentral:rRNA from 1 species